UAUGUUAUACUGGUGCUCUUUUUGGUUAUCUAAAUGUUACGACGAGCUUCUAUUUUUAUCAAACAUAAAAAAAUACAGCAUAUAAGUUUGUGUUAUUUAAAUAACUCAACAGCUUAUUUUUUUUAAGAGAAGUAAUAGUUUAUAAGGUAUUAAAGUUGUUAUGAGCUAUAGUUAAGCCAAACAAUCUCUGACUUGAGUCUUUUUUUCUUUUGCACAUUUAUGCAGAUGGUGUUAUAGGCAUUGGAAUAGCUGCUACUGCCGUUGGACUGGUUGCUGGCGGGAUUGCAGCUGCUCUAGCAAGGAAGAACUGAUGCAGCCUUUAGGAUUCCUAGCAUACUCUGGCAUGGCUGCGGAGAAAACCUACUGUAUAUAUAUUUUCCAGUCUCUGCUCGUGUUUUCUUUCUACUCAUGCGUAGGUGAUUAUUUUC